rnacentral:rRNA from 1 species
CGGGGGACAGGGUGACAGGUGGUGCAUGGUUGUCGUCAGCUCGUGUCGUGAGAUGUUGGGUUAAGUCCCGCAACGAGCGCAACCCUCGCCUCUAGUUGCCAGCAUUCGGUUGGGCACUCUAGAGGGACUGCCGGCGACAAGUCGGAGGAAGGUGGGAUGACGUCAAAUCAUCAUGCCCCUUAUGACCUGGGCUACACACGUGCUACAAUGGGCGGUACAAAGGGCUGCGAACCCGCGAGGGGGAGCGAAUCCCAAAAAGCCGCUCUCAGUUCGGAUUGCAGGCUGCAACUCGCCUGCAUGAAGCCGGAAUCGCUAGUAAUCGCGGAUCAGCAUGCCGCGGUGAAUACGUUCCCGGGCCUU